UACGUAGGGUGCGAGCGUUAAUCGGAAUUACUGGGCGUAAAGCGUGCGCAGGCGGUUUUGUAAGUCUGUCGUGAAAUCCCCGGGCUUAACCUGGGAAUUGCGAUGGAGACUGCAAGGCUGGAGUCUGGCAGAGGGGGGUAGAAUUCCACGUGUAGCAGUGAAAUGCGUAGAGAUGUGGAGGAACACCGAUGGCGAAGGCAGCCCCCUGGGUCAAGACUGACGCUCAUGCACGAAAGCGUGGGGAGCAAACAGG
rnacentral:rRNA from 1 species